UUGUCUUGUGCUUCAGUUAUAUUGCAUUUC
rnacentral:piRNA from 1 species